GAUGAACGCUGGCGGCGUGCUUAACACAUGCAAGUCGAACGAUGACUUCUGUGCUUGCACAGAAUGAUUAGUGGCGAACGGGUGAGUAACACGUGAGUAACCUGCCCUUAACUUCGGGAUAAGCCUGGGAAACUGGGUCUAAUACCGGAUACGACCAUCUGGCGCAUGCCAUGGUGGUGGAAAGCUUUAUGCGGUUUUGGAUGGACUCGCGGCCUAUCAGCUUGUUGGUUGGGGUAAUGGCCCACCAAGGCGACGACGGGUAGCCGGCCUGAGAGGGUGACCGGCCACACUGGGACUGAGACACGGCCCAGACUCCUACGGGAGGCAGCAGUGGGGAAUAUUGCACAAUGGGCGAAAGCCUGAUGCAGCGACGCCGCGUGAGGGAUGACGGCCUUCGGGUUGUAAACCUCUUUCAGCAGGGAAGAAGCGAAAGUGACGGUACCUGCAGAAGAAGCGCCGGCUAACUACGUGCCAGCAGCCGCCGUAAAAC
rnacentral:rRNA from 1 species